AGCGCGGCUUCGGAUGAUCCGCCAAAGCUGACAUUUCUGGAGGAGAAAAUGCUGGAUGAUUUGGAUUUCCAGAGAGAACAUUGGCCUACGCUGAACAGGAUGAGAAUCAACAAAUCCACAAAUCCUCCCUUGGUGCCGCUGUGUCGGUUGCAACCUGCAGAGAUUGUUCGUAAGGUUUUGGAACCAAAUGUACGCCUCUACAACGCAUUGCAAAAGAAGGGUAUCUUAUAAAGAUGCCGUCGUUUAUCA